CAUCUACGGAGAGUUUGAUCCUGGCUCAGGACGAACGCUGGCGGCGUGCUUAACACAUGCAAGUCGAACGAUGAAGCCAGCUUGCUGGUGGAUUAGUGGCGAACGGGUGAGUAACACGUGGGCAACCUGCCCCCGGCUCUGGGAUAACUCCAAGAAAUUGGUGCUAAUACCGGAUAUUCACGCUUCCUCGCAUGGG
rnacentral:rRNA from 1 species